CAGCCGCCACGGGAAUACAGAGGGUGCGAGCGUUAAUCGGAUUUACUGGGCGUAAAGCGUGCGUAGGCGGCUUUUUAAGUCGGAUGUGAAAUCCCUGAGCUUAACUUAGGAAUUGCAUUCGAUACUGGGAAGCUAGAGUAUGGGAAAGGAUGGUAGAAUUCCAGGUGUAGCGGUGAAAUGCGUAGAGAUCUGGAGGAAUACCGAUGGCGAAGGCAGCCAUCUGGCCUAAUACUGACGCUGAGGUACGAAAGCAUGGGGAGCAAACAGGAUUAGAUACCCCCGUAGUCCCUGUCUCUUAUAC
rnacentral:rRNA from 1 species